rnacentral:rRNA from 1 species
AUUGAACGCUGGCGGCAGGCCUAACACAUGCACGUCGAACGAGUGGCGGACGGGUGAGUAAUGUCUGGGAAACUGCCCGAUGGAGGGGGAUAACUACUGGAAACGGUAGCUAAGACCGCAUACCAUCGGAUGAGCCCAGAUGGGAUUAGCUAGUAGGUGGGGUAACGGCUCACCGAGGCGACGAUCCCUUGCUGGUCUGAGAGGAUGACCAGCCACACGGGAACUGUGACACGGACCCGACUCCUACGGGAGGCAGCAGUGGGAAAUAUUGCACAAUGGGCGCAAGCCUGAUGCCGCCAUGCCGCGUGUGUGAAGAAGGCCUUCGGUUUGUAAAGUACUUUCAGCGAUGAGGCGUUACUCGCAGAAGAAGCACCGGCUAACUCCGUGCCAGCAGCCGCGGUAAUUC